rnacentral:rRNA from 1 species
GUGUUUAUAAGUGAAUAGGAGUUCGCUCUCUUGCGAGAGUUACUAUCCCAAACAAGUGCACAGGGUUAGAAAGUGAGAGUUCSGACCCCAAGUUAAGUUGGACGUCCUAUAUUCACUAAUGAUCCUUCCGUAGGUGGAACCUGCGGAAGGAUCAUU